CCUACAGGGAGCAGCAGUGGGGAAUAUUGGACAAUGGGCGAAAGCCUGAUCCAGCCAUGCCGCGUGUGUGAAGAAGGCCUUCGGGUUGUAAAGCACUUUCAGUGGGGAAGAAAGCCUUGGGGCUAAUACCCUCGAGGAAGGACAUCACCCACAGAAGAAGCACCGGCUAACUCCGUGCCAGCAGCCGCGGUAAUACGGAGGGUGCGAGCGUUAAUCGGAAUUACUGGGCGUAAAGCGCGCGUAGGCGGUCUGAUAAGCCGGUUGUGAAAGCCCCGGGCUCAACCUGGGAACGGCAUCCGGAACUGUCAGGCUAGAGUGCAGGAGAGGAAGGUAGAAUUCCCGGUGUAGCGGUGAAAUGCGUAGAGAUCGGGAGGAAUACCAGUGGCGAAGGCGGCCUUCUGGACUGACACUGACGCUGAGGUGCGAAAGCGUGGGUAGCAAACAGGAUUAGAUACCCCUGUAGUC
rnacentral:rRNA from 1 species